ensembl:lncRNA
GGACACGCCCCUUUGAGCUGCGUGCUACAGCGAGGCUAAGCUAGUGGGGGAAAAGUUUCAGUGCAUUCCGUUGAUGUAGACGGCGUGAAAACGGAAACAACAAGUAUGCCGGCUCACUGUGCUGCAUACAAUUACACACUGCGUAGUACGAUUGAGACAAGGAAACUUGGAAUGACUUUUCAUAGGUUUCCCAGAGACUAUGGGUUGAGGAGGAAUUGGAAGUUUGUCGGCUUAGACCUGGUGUCAUUCCAUCAGUGUUAAACUUCCCGGCUCAUCUUGGAAGAGUACGUGCCAGAAAGACCACGACCAAGCAGCCUUGAGAUCUUAGGCAGCGUCUCCCUCAGGUCCCUCUCUAUCUCCCCACACAUCCACCAACCACUGGAACACAUCUCCAAAGUUCUGCCGGGCCAGCUCAGCUUCCCCUCAGAAGAAGUGCCGCCACCUGCCAGAUGAAGGAACCUUUUGAGAGGCAGCUGGCAUCGUGAUUGGACUGUACUUUGGUCUGUUCCAAUCCAGCUUCAGCUCCAGAAACGGCAGGCGGGAUGAGUCAACGGAGGCCUGGUGGACGAAGGCAUGCAGCUGAGUACAAUCCAGAAAACAACAGAGGAGGAGUGCAGCAGCCCAUGGCCAGAAUAAACAGAGAAGCAUCGUAUGUCUCUUAGAAAACAUCAUAGUAGAGCCUUUGGUAUGAAAAAACACCAUCAUAUACAUCGUAUAUUGUACAAAUAACAAGUCAAAGCAAAGAGACAUACAUUGUAGAAUUGUAGUAAUUGUGGACUGACUGAUUUACUGAUUAUCAGUAUUUUAUUUUUUACUGAUUUACGGUAAUAAAUACAUUUAAAAAUGGCGCUACUUUGGCUCUGAACCUUUAUCUACCUGUGGUCGCUCUGUCUUCUGGAGUGAUUUGAUUGGUUAUACAUCACAAAUAAAACUCCUUUAACUUAACAUCUGUAAACAAAACAAAAAC